rnacentral:rRNA from 1 species
ACCGCCCAAGAGUUCAUAUCGACGGCGGUGUUUGGCACCUCGAUGUCGGCUCAUCACAUCCUGGGGCUGAAGUAGGUCCCAAGGGUAUGGCUGUUCGCCAUUUAAAGUGGUACGCGAGCUGGGUUUAGAACGUCGUGAGACAGUUCGGUCCCUAUCUGCCGUGGGCGCUGGAGAACUGAGGGGGGCUGCUCCUAGUACGAGAGGACCGGAGUGGACGCAUCACUGGUGUUCGGGUUGUCAUGCCAAUGGCACUGCCCGGUAGCUAAAUGCGGAAGAGAUAAGUGCUGAAAGCAUCUAAGCACGAAACUUGCCCCG